rnacentral:rRNA from 2 species
CUAACAAGGAUUCCCCUAGUAACUGCGAGUGAAGCGGGAAAAGCUCAAAUUUAAAAUCUGGUGGCCUCGCCGCCCGAGUUGUAAUCUGGAGAAGUGCUUUCCGUGCCGGACCGUGUACAAGUCUCUUGGAACAGAGCGUCAUAGAGGGUGAGAAUCCCGUCUUUGACACGGACUGCCGGUGCUUUGUGAUGCGCUCUCGAAGAGUCGAGUUGUUUGGGAAUGCAGCUCAAAAUGGGUGGUAAAUUCCAUCUAAAGCUAAAUAUUGGCGAGAGACCGAUAGCGAACAAGUACCGUGAGGGAAAGAUGAAAAGAACUUUGGAAAGAGAGUUAAACAGUACGUGAAAUUGCUGAAAGGGAAACGCUUGAAGUCAGUCGCGUCGGCCGGGACUCAGCCUUGCUCUUGCUUGGUGUAUUUUCUGGUUGACGGGUCAGCAUCAGUUUUGAUCGCCGGAGAAUGGCCAGGGGAAUGUGGCAUCUUCAGAUGUGUUAUAGCCCUUGGUCGCAUACGGUGGUCGGGACUGAGGAUCUCGGCACCUCGUGCUAAGGAUGCUGGCAUAAUGGCUUUAAACGACCCGUCUUGAAACACGGACCAAGGAGUCUAACAUGCAUGCGAGUGUUUGGGUGGAAAACCCGAGCGCGUAAUGAAAGUGAAAGUUGAGACCCCUGUCGUGGGGGGCAUCGACGCCCGGACCUGACCUUUGGUGACGGCUCUGCGGUAGAGCAUGUAUGUUGGGACCCGAAAGAUGGUGAACUAUGCCUGAAUAGGGUGAAGCCAGAGGAAACUCUGGUGGAGGCUCGUAGCGAUUCUGACGUGCAAAUCGAUCGUCAAAUUUGGGUAUAGGGGCGAAAGACUAAUCGAACCAU